rnacentral:lncRNA from 1 species
GGAGAGCAGGACUUCAGCUGCACCUGCAGAAACCCCCAUGCACAGCCACACCUACGCAGCUUUUCACUGCACGAUGGAUGGGAUGGAGCUGCAAAACCCAUGACCUGUUGUCUUUGGGGGCCAGACACAAACAUGGGAGGCAGAGUCUGCAGAGAUGAAGACAGAAAACUCUGCAAAUCCAGUUGUAAAGGACUGCUUGAAAGCUGAACUACAGUCUGCUCACCAAGUGGCAGCACAGCUUUCUUCCGGCAUCCUAGAAAAAAGCAGCAGAAAAUCUCAGGCCAAGCAUCAUAUGAGGUAAGAGAAUCUAUCUGACAUAAUUUCUUUCUUAGAAACUUUCAGUGUUGAAAGUCUUCAGACUUUGGCUUUUCACCAAAAUCCACAAUCCCUACCACAAAAUUAGAAGAUAUCUAAAGAAGAGGUCCCUUUCCAGGAAUGACACAAACAGAAAUGAAUACAGUGAGAGGAAAAAAUCUCCCACUGGUCAGGAUAAAUUAGACAGAAUAUUUCCCUUUUAAACUUAUGGAGCGCUAGGAAUUUGAUCUUAAAGAAAUUAUUAUUUUCCAAUUAAAAUUCUCAGACCUGAGUUCUGCUCUUCCCACUACUUAUUAUUUUCCUGAAGUCAUAUUUUUCAUAUUUUUGCUUGGUUUCUUUGAUACUGAACAAGAUGAAACCAGAAGUCUGAAGAGGAGAAAAAAACUAAGACACUUAUCUCUAAAGUCCUUUUCCCAUUUCUGCACGUAGCAAAUUUAGUAAUUUACCAAAACUGCUGUAAAUACAACAUUUUUUACCCAGGCAAAUUCUAGCAAUGUUGACCAUCAUUCUCUUUGGCUGAAUUCUACCAUAUUGUUUUAGACCACUGAAUAUAAAAGAAUCUGUUCCUGUAAAAAAACAUGUUGCAGCUUCAGUUCACAUUUCCAGCUCAUUUGCUUGUGGCUUUCACAGAGAGAGCUGUUUUUCUAUUCUUUGGUUAAGUUUAUUAUGCUGUGGGCAGAACAUCAAAGAGGAGUGCUGGACUGAGCUGUAGAGUGAGCCACGAGGGGCACACUGGUACACUG